rnacentral:rRNA from 1 species
GAUGAACGCUGGCGGCGUGCUUAACACAUGCAAGUCGAACGAAGCACUUUUAAUUCUUCGGAAGAGAAAGUGACUGAGUGGCGGACGGGUGAGUAACGCGUGGGUAACCUGCCUUAUACAGGGGGAUAACAGUUAGAAAUGACUGCUAAUACCGCAUAAGCCGAUAGAGUCGCAUGACUUAGUCGGAAAAGAUUUAUCGGUAUAAGAUGGACCCGCGUCUGAUUAGCUAGUUGGUGAGGUAAUGGCCCACCAAGGCGACGAUCAGUAGCCGGCUUGAGAGAGUGAACGGCCACAUUGGGACUGAGACACGGCCCAAACUCCUACGGGAGGCAGCAGUGUGGAAUAUUGCACAAUGGGGGAAACCCUGAUGCAGCAACGCCGCGUGAAGGAAGAAGUAUUUCGGUAUGUAAACUUCUAUCAGCAGGGAAGAAAAUGACGGUACCUGACUAAGAAGCCCCGGCUAACUACGUGCCAGCAGCCGCGGUAAAAC